UUCUGUCACUUCUAGUUGUCUGCGCUGAUUGGGCAAAACCGGAACAAGCCAGGCCCAAUGCCGCCGUUAGAGCACUCCUGGCGCAGCAAAUGAGCAAGGGGCAGAGCAUUUGUACAGGCCAGGGAGCGGCGGCAGCGGCCGGAGCCCGGUGAGGCGCGGCGGACCUCGGAGGAGGCGACAGCGCAGCAUGCCGGGCACAGGGCAGCCAUCUCUGUGCUACCCACAGGAACUGGGACGAACCAGCGCUGCUCCGGCCGCGGGUCCCGCCUUGUCGCCAGCGGGAAGGAGACCGCGGGCAGGCGCUCCCGCAGUGCCGUCAGCCCAGGGGAUCACGGGCCGGGCACGGCAUAGCGAACUCGCCAGAGUCCCCUGCCGCCCCCAGCGAGCCCCGAGCGCCCGCAGAACCGAGCGCGGUUCCCACCUGCGCUGGUGCCGCCUCCGAGCUCCGCCGCCGCCUCACCGGGCUCCGGCCGCUGCCGCCGCUCCUGGGAAACACAGAACCUCUGAAAAUGGCGCCCCGGCGGCGGCACCGGGGCCGGGCUUGUCCCCGCUCUGCCCAAUCAGCGCGCUAGAUCAAGGAGUGACAGCACAAUCAGCCAAUCGCAGCGAGGGGCGGGCUCUGUACACGGCACGGGCUCCCCUCCCUUUCCCCGAGCUCCGCCAUUUCUCGGAAACCUCGCCUGAGGAGCGGCUCACGCGCUGGGCCCGGCCCGGGCAUCGGGCCCAGGAACCGCUGCUGUCCUGAACCGCCGGGAGCUCGGGGCUUUUUCGUUUUCAAGGUGUGGGCAGAUGGAGCAGGAGGAAAAGCCCCGGAGAUCCCUCAGGAGGAGGGGCUGCAAACCCAGCCCAGGGAGCUGCGAGGAGGAGAGACCCUCCCUGAGCCGGGAAGGCGGCCGGAGAUCCAGGCAGAGCUCAGAGCUGGUGGAGCAGCCUCAUGGAGGGGAGAAGCCCCACAAGUGCCUGGAAUUUUGGAAGGAUUUCUGCCAUAACUCCCAGCUGAUGCAAGACCAGAGGAUGCACACUGGGGAACGGUCCUACAAGUGUGGGGAAUGUGGAAAGAGCUUCAGUGACAUCUCCAUCCUGAUGCAGCACCAGUGACCCACACAGGGGAAGGUUCGUACACCUGCUUGGAAUUUGGGAAGAGCUUUGAAUGGAGCAAAAACCUGAGAGUCCACCAGCACAUCCACUGGGGAGAAGCCCUAUGAGUGUCCUGAUUGUGGGAAGAGGUUUCAGACCAGCUCCAGUCUCCUCAAACACAAGCAGAUUCACACAGAGGAGAGGCCCUUCUGCUGCCCCGACUGUGGGAAAGGAUUCAAGCAGAACUCCCACCUCAUCAGACACCGGCGCAUCCACACUGGGGAGAGACCCUAUGAGUGUCCUGAGUGUGGGAAGAGCUUCACCACGAGCUCUAACUUGACCCGACACAAAUGGAGGCUUCACUAAGGGAAGCCCUGUGAGUGCCCCGAGUGUGGGAAGAGCUUUGUGCUCUGCUCCAGCUCCAUCCCCCAUGGGAGGAUUGUUGUUGGAUGAUCCCCAGUGACCCCUGUUGGGCAGAUCCCUGGUGAUCCGUGGUCCUGGUGACCACCAUUGGGUGGGGGGAUGGGGUUUGAAGAGAUUUUUUUCCCUUCUCCUUGUCCUGCUGUGAUUUGGUUGCUAAUAAAUUCAUUCGCUGUGUCCA